rnacentral:tmRNA from 1 species
CCUCUGGCAAUCGCGGCGCCGAUGCCCUACAUGUCGGGGUGCCGCUUGCGGCUAUGGUGAUAAACGUUGCGUGGAAUAAUCGUUACGGACCCGGGGGCAGUGCCCGGCGUCUCCACCACUCCAACCGCCUUUAUCGGGGCGCGUGGCACGGGGACGAAACAGGCUCGACGUGCGUGGUAAAGACGCAGCUUUUGCCCGGCAUUGUACCGCCGUUAUCGGGCUAAAUCACAAGUGCCAACGAUAACGUCCGCGAGGACGUGGCGCUCGCUGCCUAGGAAUAGGUAAGCGCGGUUUGGGGGGCACCGGGCAACAGAAGCCCCCCGCU